UACGAAGGGGGCUAGCGUUGUUCGGAUUCAUUGGGCGUAAAGGGUGCGUAGGUGGCGCCGUAAGUCAGGUGUGAAAUCUCGGGGCUUAACUCCGAAACUGCAUUUGAUACUGCGGUGCUUGAGGACUGGAGAGGAGACUGGAAUUUACGGUGUAGCGGUGAAAUGCGUAGAUAUCGUAAGGAAGACCAGUGGCGAAGGCGGGUCUCUGGACAGUUCCUGACACUGAGGCACGAAGGCCAGGGGAGCAAACGGG
rnacentral:rRNA from 1 species